UACCCGAGCCUCAAUUGAAAGUUUAAAAUCUAAGUUUACCUUAAAAGUCGAUCUCUCUCAAUUUUAGUGAAGGUCUUAAAGACCAAAAUCCGAGAUGAGACGGAAGAGAAAAAUGAUGAGGAAUAAAAGAACUUAAGAAAAAUAUAAAAGAAAAAUGAUAGAAAAUUAAAAGGAUGGUGAAGGUUAAUCCCUGGAGGGUAAUUUGGUCAUUAUACCCUCUUUUUUUUAGUAACAUACAAAUAAAAGAGAAAAAGAAAAAAUAAAGGGGAAAAAGGAAGAGAAGGAGAAAGGACAGAAAGAAAAGAAUGUAAAUAGUGAGAGAAAGAAAAUUAUAGAGAGAGAAGGAAAGUUCUAGAGAGAGAGGGAGGUAACCGCCGCUCCGGCCACGAGGAGUCCGGUUCCGGCCGAGCCUUCAUGAAAACUUCACAGAACCUAGAGAAGAACAUUCUUAACCUUUAGAUCGUCCAAAACCAUCCGGAAACGAGGAAAAAUCUAAAGAGGAUUACGCUCAAAACCUGUGAAGGAGGUUGUAAUCGAUUCAGAUCGGAAAUGGGAGUUCGACGUUCGUCAAAGAGGAGAAAGGAGGAGGAGGAUGCGCUUCGCCGGAGAAGAAGGGCCACGUGUCGAGCGUCCAUUGGAGACGAAAAAAUCAAAGAAAUACUUCGCGUCGGGCGGGAUUCGAUGGCCGGCGGCCCGCUACUCGAGUUUGCGACCCGAUGACCCGCGCGCAACCCGGACCACCGACCCGGUUUCGCGUUGCCACGCGUCAGCGUAAACAAACUUGAAUGUCCAGCGCGCCCUUCCGGUUUCGAACCAACGACCUCGACCUCGGCUGACCGUUUAUCGGGCGCCACGUGGCAACACCUCAGCGCGCGUCUCCCCUCCCUCAUGCGCGUCCGUACGCGCGCGUGGCCGUGCGCGUGUAGCACCUUCCCCAGGCGCGUGAGAGCGCGUGAGGUGCUGUUUUCAGCCCGUUCGAUUUCUGUUUGCCCGAUUUCCCUCCGACUCCAACUCUAACCCUAUUUUUAUAUGGAAUAGGGUUUAAAUGGGAAAAUUCAACAUUUGUGGACACUCUAUUGGUGUAGAAAUGCUCAACGAAGAACACGCGUCAAUCGGGUGUUCACUGGCUGCUGGUCGAGGUAGAGGAGCGUUUGAGAGUUGUACAGUCACAGAGGGGGUCGUUCCGGAGCGUCAGUCCCUUUUCGGUCUUUUAGAGUCUUUUGUAUUUCAUUUUAUAUUUGCAAUUUCUUUUGUAAUAAUUAACAAACGAAA